AUAGUUCCUAGCUAGUUGUGUUUUUUUGCCUGAAUGUGCAAUGCUUGUGUGAUACACUGCUAGCAAUUCGAUUAAUAUUGUUUGUUGGAUUUACAUAUUCAAAUGCUCCUGCUUGAUUCAUUCCUUUUAGUUCACGAUAUAUGCUUUUUCUUAUGUGCACUUCUGUUCUUUCCUCGCUGGGCUACAUUUUGCUAGCAGCUUGUGGAAGGCAAAUGAUAGAAUCCGAGAAGGGGGCGCCUCAAGUUGGAUUGAGGUUCAAAAAUCUAGAUGAAGCUUGGCAGUUUUGGGUGGCAUAUGGAGGCCGUAUGGGCUUUGAUGUGAGGUUCAAAAAAUACCAAGAAGACUAAUGAGCACACCUAUGCUGAUGCAAGCAAGCAAAGUGUAUACUCCAGCUAUUUUUGAAGCUUUCCAAAGUGAAUAUGAAAGAUCCAUGGCUGCAUGCAGUAAGGUAUUGGAUGGAAAUACAUAUGGCAUUGCUAUUGGGAGUUUAAAUGGUGGUAGCUUUGAGGAGGAGCGCAUAGUUACAUGUGAUCCUUCAAAGCAAAUUGUGUCCUGUAGCUGUGGAAUGUUCAGUAGAACUGGAAUAUUAUGUGCACAUGGUUUGAAAGUUCUUGAUUUAAUUAACACAAAGACAUUGCGGCACAUUAUAUAUUACCGAGAUGGACUAGAGAAGCAUGCAAAGGAAAUAUACAAGAUAGUCAAGGAAGGAACGUGGUAGCAAAUCCUAAGUUGGAAGCUCAUCUUUGGUACAGAUCUUUGUCUCAUAAGUUCCUCAAUUUGGCAUACAAAGCAGCGAAUUAUCCAGAGUGUUGUUUGAUGUUAGACAAUGGACUUGAUUGCCUUGAUGCACAGCUAGAGGAUAAACUCAUUGCAUUGAUUGCUCCCAUGAAAAAUUCAUGUAAUGACCAAGAAAAUGUUGAGCCCAAUGUGCAGCAGAGAAAUAACUUGGUCAGUGCAGCACAGCUAAAGAAAAAGGAGGUCCAGCCGAAAAGUUCAAAGAGGAAAAAAUCUUGGAUUGACAAGUUGCAAAAAAGGAAGCCUAAGCCAGCUAAAUCUACCAAACAAACAAAAAAAGCAGCAAAGGAGCAAAAGAAAGAUGAUGGUGUACAUCCCCAAGUAGAAGAGAAUGGUGACAGCAACAAAGGAGCACCUGUGGAGCUUCAAAAAUGCAGUAUCAUUCGCAGCUUAGGAAUUUUUACCGAACUCCUAACAUCUCCAAGUUGUGAUCUUGGUGAUGAAAAUCAGUUCUAGAAUGUGGAUUCCAACUUAGUGAUUUUGGACAUACCUAACCACAGUAUUUGGUUAGCUAACUAUAGCAUUUUGUGGCCUAAUUGUACAAGUGAAAUGGCCUUUACUUUGAAAGGUUCAGCUGCUGGUCUAUUGCACUAGAAUGAACAAUAUAUGUUGUAAUAAGCCCGCAGCUGCAAGACAGACAAUACCUUUCCUUUUGUAUCUAUUUCAGUUAGUGUCCUGAAGAUAUAAAGUAUGAACUUGUUAAUUGGGGCAAGUUCUUAAAGAGUUCAGGGGAUGAUAGAUGUGUCUAUUUUACUACUGAAUAUUUCCUAUUUGUUCCCUAAAAUUCUGUUUGAAUGAUUCAGAAUUCCAUGUGUUUGUGA